ensembl:snoRNA small nucleolar RNA, C/D box 7
AGGCGAUGAUGAGUCAAGUCUAGUCUGACCUGGUAUUGCUGCAACGUCCUGGCUCUGACCAGGACGUUUUGGCUCUGACCAGGACGUGAUCACGUAAUCUUCUCUCUGAGCAG